rnacentral:rRNA from 1 species
UACGUAGGGAGCAAGCGUUGUUCGGAUUUACUGGGCGUAAAGGGCGCGUAGGCGGCAAUUCAAGUCAGCUGUGAAAUCUCCGGGCUUAACUCGGAACGGUCAGCUGAUACUGCUUUGCUAGAGUGCGGAAGGGGCAAUCGGAAUCUCGGUGUAGCGGUGAAAUGCGUAGAUAUCGAGAGGAACACCUGAGGUGAAGACGGGUUGCUGGGCCGACACUGACGCUGACAGCGCGAAAGCCAGGGGAGCAAACGGG